UACGUAGGGACCGAGCGUUGUCCGGAAUCAUUGGGCGUAAAGAGCGUGUAGGCGGCCAAUUAAGUCCUGCGUGAAAUCCCAGGGCUCAACCCUGGAACUGCACUUGAUACUGCGUGGCUAGGGUACUGGAGAGGAGACUGGAAUUUACGGUGUAGCAGUGAAAUGCGUAGAUAUCGUAAGGAAGACCAGUGGCGAAGGCGAGUCUCUGGACAGUUACCGACGCUGAGGCACGAAGGCCAGGGGAGCAAACGGG
rnacentral:rRNA from 1 species